AGGUAAAGUCAAGACCCACGGGUAUUAUCCGUAGGCUUCUCUUCUCUACUGAAAGUGCUUUACAACCCGCAGGCCUUCUUCACAUACGCGGCAUUGCUGGAUCAGGGUUUCCCCCAUUGUCCAAUAUUCCCCA
rnacentral:rRNA from 1 species